rnacentral:rRNA from 1 species
UUUGACCUCAAAUCAGGUGAGAAUACCCGCUGAACUUAA